rnacentral:rRNA from 1 species
CCUACGGGAGGCAGCAGUGGGGAAUUUUGGACAAUGGGGACAACCCUGAUCCAGCCAUGCCGCGUGAGUGAAGAAGGCCUUCGGGUUGUAAAGCUCUUUCGGCCGGAACGAAAUCGCGUACGUGAAUAACGUGCGUGGAUGACGGUACUGGAAGAAGAAGCACCGGCUAACCACGUGCCAUCACUCCCGGUAAU